GACGAACCGUGCGAACGUUAUUCGGAAUCAUUGGGCUUAAAGGGCGCGUAGGCGGGCGACCGCGUCGAUGGCUGAAAGCCCCCGGCUUAACCGGGGAACGGGCCACGAUACGGGUCGCCUCGAGGCGAGGAGGGGGACCUGGAACGUCCGGUGGAGCGGUGAAAUGCGUUGAGAUCGGACGGAACACCGACGGCGAAAGCAAGGUCCUGGACUCGUACUGACGCUGAGGCGCGAAGGCCAGGGGAGCGAACGGG
rnacentral:rRNA from 1 species